rnacentral:rRNA from 1 species
AUUGAACGCUGGCGGCAGGCCUAACACAUGCAAGUCGAGCGGAUGAGUGGAGCUUGCUCCAUGAUUCAGCGGCGGACGGGUGAGUAAUGCCUAGGAAUCUGCCUGGUAGUGGGGGACAACGUUUCGAAAGGAACGCUAAUACCGCAUACGUCCUACGGGAGAAAGCAGGGGACCUUCGGGCCUUGCGCUAUCAGAUGAGCCUAGGUCGGAUUAGCUAGUUGGUGAGGUAAAGGCUCACCAAGGCGACGAUCCGUAACUGGUCUGAGAGGAUGAUCAGUCACACUGGAACUGAGACACGGUCCAGACUCCUACGGGAGGCAGCAGUGGGGAAUAUUGGACAAUGGGCGAAAGCCUGAUCCAGCCAUGCCGCGUGUGUGAAGAAGGUCUUCGGAUUGUAAAGCACUUUAAGUUGGGAGGAAGGGCAGUAAGUUAAUACCUUGCUGUUUUGACGUUACCGACAUAAUAAGCACCGGCUAACUUCGUGCCAGCCGCCGCUGUAAAAC